rnacentral:lncRNA from 1 species
NNNNNNNNNNNNNNNNNNGUGUCCAUGCACACAUACGUGUCAAUGCACACAUACAUGUCCAUGCACACAUACGUGUCCAUGCACGCAUACGUGUCCAUGCACAUAUACGUGUCAAUGCACACAUACGUGUCAAUGCACACACACGUGUCCGUGCACACAUACAUGUCAAUGCACACAUACAUGUGACUGCGCAUGCGUGUUAACGGGCGCACACGUGUUAGCGCAUACUCACGCAUCCACGUACACGCCCGCACCGUGGCGCAGCCCCGUGUCACCGCGCGGCCCCUUUAAGGCCCCGCGCGUCAGAGGGCAGAAAUCCGCCCGCGCCGCCGCUCUUAAAGGGGACGCGGCGCCUCGCGGGAGCGCCGCGCGCGCGCACGUGUGCGUGGGGCGAAGUGCACGGGCACGCGCACGCGGGUGGGGCCGGGGGUGCGUGGGGCGCGCUCGUGUCGUGGCAGGUUUGUGCGUGUGUGUGCGUGAGAGCUCGCCUCGCUGCAUACAUCUGUAUUUGCGGGCUCCGAUGUUAGUGCACACGCGUGUCAUUGCACGCACGUAUUGUUGCACAUGCUCACAUCAAUGCACGUGGACGUGUAAAUGCAUGCACCAUCAUGCACUUAUGGGUCACUGCAUGCACACGUAUGGCAAUGCACACAUGUUUGCACACACACGUGACUAUAGACACACAUGUUAUUGCAACCACAGGUCAUUGCACACGCAUGUCACUCCAUACACACAUUGGUGCACGUAUACAUGUUCCUGCAGACGCGCAUUGCUGCAUGCAUACCCAUCCUUGCACACUCACACGUCACCACGUGACACACGUACAUCAGCACACACAUGUUAUAACACACUGAUGAAUCAUGAGAUGCGCAUACCCCUACAUACAUGUGCUAUUGCACGCACACGUGUGUCCAUGCACAGGCACGCAUUGUUGCACACGCACAUCAUUGCACGCACACAUCAGUGCACAUGCAUGUGAGUGGGCACACAUGUCAGUGGAUGUACAUGUAUCCAUGCAGACCAGUAAUGGGCUCACACGCAUCUAUGCACACGCAUGUCACUGUGCACACAUGUCUGUGCACACGCAUGUGGAUGGGCACACCAUGCACAGGCAUGUUAACGGGCACACCCGUGUCCAUGCACAUGCGUGUCAGUGCGCACGCAUGUCAACACACAUACAUGUGAACGGGCACACCUGUGUCAAUGCACACACACGUGUCCAUGCACACAUACGUGUCAAUGCA